AAAGAUUCAUCGCUGAUAGAUAGGCAUGCGUUCCAUUAGGCAGUUGGCGGGGUAACGGCCCACCAAACCGACGAUGGAUAGGGGUUCUGAGAGGAAGGUCCCCCACAUUGGUACUGAGACACGGACCAAACUCCUACGGGAGGCAGCAGUGAGGAAUAUUGGUCAAUGGGCGUAAGCCUGAACCAGCCAAGUCGCGUGAGGGAUGAAGGUUCUAUGGAUCGUAAACCUCUUUUAUAAGGGAAUAAAGUGUGGGACGUGUCCUAUUUUGUAUGUACCUUAUGAAUAAGGAUCGGCUAACUCCGUGCCAGCAGCCGCGGUAAUACGGAGGAUCCGAGCGUUAUCCGGAUUUAUUGGGUUUAAAGGGUGCGUAGGCGGCCUUUUAAGUCAGCGGUGAAAGUCUGUGGCUCAACCAUAGAAUUGCCGUUGAAACUGGGGGGCUUGAGUAUGUUUGAGGCAGGCGGAAUGCGUGGUGUAGCGGUGAAAUGCUUAGAUAUCACGCAGAACCCCGAUUGCGAAGGCAGCCUGCCAAGCCAUGACUGACGCUGAUGCACGAAAGCGUGGGGAUCAAACAGGAUUAGAUACCCUGGUAGUCCACGCAGUAAACGAUGAUCACUAGCUGUUUGCGAUACAGUGUAA
rnacentral:rRNA from 1 species